ensembl:snRNA U6 U6 spliceosomal RNA
AUGCUCAAUUCAGCAGCACAUAUACCCAAACUGGGACACUAUAGAGGAGAUCAGCAUAGUUUGUGUGCAAGGAUGACAUACAGAUUUGUGAAGUGUUCCAUAUUUUU